rnacentral:rRNA from 54 species
ACGGGUGAGUAAUGCCUAGGAAUCUGCCUGGUAGUGGGGGAUAACGUUCGGAAACGGACGCUAAUACCGCAUACGUCCUACGGGAGAAAGCAGGGGACCUUCGGGCCUUGCGCUAUCAGAUGAGCCUAGGUCGGAUUAGCUAGUUGGUGAGGUAAUGGCUCACCAAGGCGACGAUCCGUAACUGGUCUGAGAGGAUGAUCAGUCACACUGGAACUGAGACACGGUCCAGACUCCUACGGGAGGCAGCAGUGGGGAAUAUUGGACAAUGGGCGAAAGCCUGAUCCAGCCAUGCCGCGUGUGUGAAGAAGGUCUUCGGAUUGUAAAGCACUUUAAGUUGGGAGGAAGGGCAGUUACCUAAUACGUGAUUGUUUUGACGUUACCGACAGAAUAAGCACCGGCUAACUCUGUGCCAGCAGCCGCGGUAAUACAGAGGGUGCAAGCGUUAAUCGGAAUUACUGGGCGUAAAGCGCGCGUAGGUGGUUUGUUAAGUUGGAUGUGAAAUCCCCGGGCUCAACCUGGGAACUGCAUUCAAAACUGACUGACUAGAGUAUGGUAGAGGGUGGUGGAAUUUCCUGUGUAGCGGUG